GCCAUUUGCAAGGAGUUGGGGUGGGGGGGGUUUCCCCUGGGACAAACAAAACAAAGCAGAUUUCUCUGCUAGAGUUCCUUUGAACCAGAAAUUACAAUCUUUGCUCCAAGAGACAAGAGGAUUACAAAACAUCUUAAAUGUCCUCCUUUUCUCCUUUUACUGCAAAGCUCCAAUGAACUCGAAACCCAGGGGUAUUCACUGUAACACAACAGAUUAAGCAAAUAGGACUGGAGAGUCAUUUGGGAUCUUUUUCCUUUACACAAGGCCCUCUGUGAGGGUAGGGCUUGUGGGGCGAGCCGCGAAGAAGAGAUCGCCUUUGCUAAGGCAGGCACAGCUUCACUAGGCACAGCAAUUAUUCUAGAAACAUCUGGAGCAUGAAAUUUUAAAAUGCCAGAAUUACAGUGGAUCGAGAUGGAGCCUUGGAUAUUCUCUGCACAGUGCCACAGGAGAGGCCAGGGAGCUUUCCCAGGAGACACAGUGAUCGGCAACAUCCCAAGUGGUGGAUACUUUGUCACCCAGAGUUCUAUAAUGAAAACAACAAGGAUGUGGAACAGAGUCACAGAACAAUGCACUGAAGAUAUGCAAAUAAGCAAGAAAUAAACCUUUAUAAUUUUAAGCCGUUAAAACAUGGUGGGGCUGCUUGUUACUGCAGCAGCGCCCAGCCCAUCUCAACUAAUACCAGUCUGGAAACCUGAGUCCUUAUCUUAAAACUUCCAAGAACUCACCUUACAGUGUGUUGGUGCAUGUUACCUCCACCAGCAAUAAGUACACCAAAUUACUCAAUUUUCUCCCCAUACCACAUACCUUAUGUCCUCUAUUCCCCAUUGUACUUUCACAUGUAAUCCCAUGCUGAUGUUUUCUAUAUUAUAUUAUAUAUAUUAUUAUAAGUUUCCU
rnacentral:lncRNA from 1 species